ACGGGAGGCAGCAGUGGGGAAUAUUGCACAAUGGGCGAAAGCCUGAUGCAGCAACGCCGCGUGAGCGAUGAAGGCCUUCGGGUCGUAAAGCUCUGUCCUCAAGGAAGAUAAUGACGGUACUUGAGGAGGAAGCCCCGGCUAACUACGUGCCAGCAGCCGCGGUAAUACGUAGGGGGCUAGCGUUAUCCGGAAUUACUGGGCGUAAAGGGUGCGUAGGUGGUUUCUUAAGUCAGAGGUGAAAGGCUACGGCUCAACCGUAGUAAGCCUUUGAAACUGGGAAACUUGAGUGCAGGAGAGGAGAGUGGAAUUCCUAGUGUAGCGGUGAAAUGCGUAGAUAUUAGGAGGAACACCAGUUGCGAAGGCGGCUCUCUGGACUGUAACUGACACUGAGGCACGAAAGCGUGGGGAGCAAACAGGAUUAGAUACCCUGGUA
rnacentral:rRNA from 1 species